UACGAAGGGGGCUAGCGUUGUUCGGAAUUAUUGGGCGUAAAGAGCUCGUAGGCGGUUUGUCGCGUCUGCUGUGAAAACUCGAGGCUCAACCUCGGGCUUGCAGUGGGUACGGGCAGACUAGAGUGCGGUAGGGGAGACUGGAAUUCCUGGUGUAGCGGUGGAAUGCGCAGAUAUCAGGAGGAACACCGAUGGCGAAGGCAGGUCUCUGGGCCGCAACUGACGCUGAGGAGCGAAAGCAUGGGGAGCGAACAGG
rnacentral:rRNA from 1 species